rnacentral:rRNA from 1 species
AUGACGGCCUUCGGGUUGUAAACCGCUUUCAGCAGGGAAGAAGCUUUUUGUGACGGUACCUGCAGAAGAAGCGCCGGCUAACUACGUGCCAGCAGCCGCGGUAAUACGUAGGGCGCGAGCGUUAUCCGGAAUUAUUGGGCGUAAAGGGCUCGCAGGCGGUUUGCCACGUCUGCUGUGAAAGCCCGGGGCUUAACUCCGGGUGUGCAGUGGGUACGGGUAGACUAGAGUGCAGUAGGGGAGACUGGAAUUCCUGGUGUAGCGGUGAAAUGCGCAGAUAUCAGGAAGAACACCGAUGGCGAAGGCAGGUCUCUGGGCUGUUACUGACGCUGAGGAGCGAAAGCAUGGGGAGCGAACAGGAUUAGAUACCCUGGUAGUCCAUGCCGUAAACGUUGGGCACUAGGUGUGGGGGACAUUCCACGUUUUCCGCGCCGUAGCUAACGCAUUAAGUGCCCCGCCUGGGGAGUACGGCCGCAAGGCUAAAACUCAAAGUAUUUU